CAGAACGGUGUAAGUUAUCCAAUGACCUUUGGGGAGAAAGCGAUGGAGAAGGCGAAGAAAGCUAUCGACGUAUAUGACCGGGUUACCUUGCGUCUUCUUGGUGCAUCCGGUCUAUUUCUUAAGCUUACACUUUUUGGGGCUUUUGUGCUAGAUUUGUGUGGGCCUCGAUAUAUUCCUUGGUUUACUCGAGUAGUGCUUGGAUUCGAGCCUCUCGAAGAACGGCAGUUUCCUAGACGCAGCGAAGAGGGUAAUCAGUCCGAGUCAUCGUGAAGAUCUGGAGAGUAUCGCUUGACUUCU